CAUAAUUUAAGCUGUUUUUAGAUUGACGUUGCUAGCUACUGUACUUAUUUACCUCAGCCUAGCUAGCUAGACAGUUUUAUUUAGUUAACGUUAGCUAGCUAGCUAACUGUUAUUGUAGCUUUCUGUUUGUAUAUAGCUUGCACUUCAAUGGCAUCCCUUGAGGAGACUUUCUUUUAUCUUUCCAACCAGGCAAAGUACUAUGAAGGCACCACUGAUGUCGACGAGAGGUGCAACGUUCGUAGGGGGCAGAGAAAUUCCCAAUUCAGGGCAAUCAUAUGUACCUACGGGGGGAGGAUGGCCAGCCACACAGGAGGGUGAUUUUUACUACGGAGGAGAAGGAGCCCAUGCUGACCGAGAUGCAUGCUGGCCAUUUCAGAGUGAAGCGCAUGAUUGCCAAUAUCAACCUACACUUCUUCUGGCGUGGAAUUGACAAAGAGGUGGACAGCUGGGUUAGUACCCUGUCUAGCCUGCCAGAAGUUUGAGAGGGUGAAGACUGGCGCCGGAGUUGAAGCCCAUCUAAGUUGAUUCACCAUGGCACAUGAUCGGUACCAGGAACGGUGGAAGGACAACCUGAAGGUAAUUCUCUUUGCACACAACAGUAGUGUCCAGGCCUCCACCGAGUACUCUCCAUAUCGCUUGCUGUACGGACGGGAGCCACAGCUGUUGACUGAGCUGACUGAACAUCGACAAGGCGCAGGAGAAACAGAAGGAGAGCUACCGGAAAGGGACCAAGUGCUUCGACAUCCAGGUGAAUUACUUAGUUUGGAAGAAGGACGAAAUGAAGGCGAGACCUGGGAAACCUCACUGCUCUUUCGCUUCUAGCUGUGGUCACCAUCCAUUAAGAGUUACCUCGGUGGAAGCAGACAAUCUUCUCCAGUUGGAGCCGCUGGAUGGUCGACCACUGAAAGCCCCGACACCCUACACCUCGGGGAAGACCAAUAGACAAAGUAUGUUAAGCUUUAGGACCAUCGGUUGUCCAAGCCCCCCAGGAAGUAUCCCAUCCACUAGAGCCAGUGAGUUCGGAUCAGUCGGAUUCUCUAUGCUCUGAGUCAGAGGGGGACCAGCUUGCGGACCUAGGGGUUCUGCCUAACACCCACAUGUGGAUCCACCUGAUGUCCUCCAUUAGCAAACACCCUCCAACUUUUCACAACAUAAUUUACUGUUAUUGUCAUGUUGUCAUUAUCUGCUAAGACAUUUUUCUUGCUCUGUCAUAUUGGGGCCAUAAUAUGUGAUAUACACAGAUAAACUAAAAACACUAGCACUGCAAACACUCAGAACAAAGAGAGCAGCAGUGCUAGGAAUUUGCUGUCUCCCUCUUCAAGUCCCCCUUCCAAAGUGACAGGCAGAACAUCCCAUCCAGACAGCACCCACCUCCUCUAUAUUCCACACACCAGAAUUCAGAUAUUCAACCGCAAGGGUGUACUAAUGAGCUAUGCAAGAUAGAACAAACAUUUAUCAUAAUAGAGCAGUU
rnacentral:lncRNA from 1 species